rnacentral:misc_RNA from 1 species
AAGUCGUAACAAGGUUUCCGUAGGUGAACCUGCGGAAGGAUCAUUAUCAAAAGUCAAGUCGGGGGCUGUAAAGCUCUCGUCUACACCCCAUGUCUUUUGCGUACUCUUGUUUCCUCGGUGGCGCAAGCUGCCGAUUGGACAAACCAAAACCUUUUUUGUAAUAGCAGUCAGCGUCUGAUACUAAGUUAAUUAUUAAAACUUUCAACAAUGGAUCUCUUGGUUCUG